GAGUUUGAUCCUGGCUCAGGAUGAACGCUGGCGGCGUGCUUAACACAUGCAAGUCGAACGAAGCACCUUGGACAGAUUCUUCGGAUGAAGUCCUUAGUGACUGAGUGGCGGACGGGUGAGUAACGCGUGGGUAACCUGCCUCAUACAGGGGGAUAACAGUUAGAAAUGGCUGCUAAUACCGCAUAAGCGCACGGUACUGCAUGGUACAGUGUGAAAAACUCCGGUGGUAUGAGAUGGACCCGCGUUGGAUUAGCUAGUUGGCAGGGUAACGGCCUACCAAGGCGACGAUCCAUAGCCGGCCUGAGAGGGUGGACGGCCACAUUGGGACUGAGACACGGCCCAGACUCCUACGGGAGGCAGCAGUGGGGAAUAUUGCACAAUGGGGGAAACCCUGAUGCAGCGACGCCGCGUGAGCGAAGAAGUAUUUCGGUAUGUAAAGCUCUAUCAGCAGGGAAGAAAAUGACGGUACCUGACUAAGAAGCCCCGGCUAACUACGUGCCAGCCGCCGCGGUAAUUC
rnacentral:rRNA from 1 species